GUACCCUCAAGCUUUGCUUGGUGUUGGGCGUCUUUGUCUCUCACGAGACUCGCCUUAAAAUGAUUGGCAGCCGACCUACUGGUUUCGGAGCGCAGCACAAUUCUUGCACUUUGAAUCAGCCUUGGUUGAGCAUCCAUCAAGACCACAUUUUCUUAAC
rnacentral:misc_RNA from 1 species